rnacentral:rRNA from 1 species
UACGAAGGGGGCUAGCGUUGCUCGGAAUUACUGGGCGUAAAGCGCACGUAGGCGGCUUUCUAAGUCGGGGGUGAAAUCCUGGAGCUCAACUCCAGAACUGCCUUCGAUACUGGAGAGCUCGAGUCCGGGAGAGGUGAGUGGAACUGCGAGUGUAGAGGUGAAAUUCGUAGAUAUUCGCAAGAACACCAGUGGCGAAGGCGGCUCACUGGCCCGGUACUGACGCUGAGGUGCGAAAGCGUAGGGAGCAAACAGG